rnacentral:rRNA from 1 species
UUACCAUGCAAGUCCGACGUGAAAGGGGAGCAAUCCCCCGGUAGGGUGGCGAACGGGUGAGUAAGACAUGGGAAUCUGUCCCGGAGAUGGGGAUAUCCUUCCGAAAGGAGGGUUAAUACCGAAUACCGUCCGGUGGACGAGAGUCCAUCGGGGAAAGGGAGGCCUCUGGCAACAUGCUUCCGCUCCGGGAGGAGCCCAUGGCCCAUCAGCUAGUUGGGAGGGUGACGGCCUACCAAGGCGAAGACGGGUAGCUGGUCUGAGAGGACGAUCAGCCACACUGGCACUGAGACACGGGCCAGACUCCUACGGGAGGCAGCAGUGAGGAAUUUUGCGCAAUGGGGGCAACCCUGACGCAGCAACGCCGCGUGUGGGAAGAAGGCUUUCGGGUUGUAAACCACUUUUGUAAGGGACGAAGUCCUUUCGGCAAAUAACCGAGGGGGAUGACGGUACCUUGCGAAUAAGCCACGGCUAACUCUGUGCCAGCAGCCGCGGUAAGACAGGGGUGGCAAGCGUUGUUCGGAGUAACUGGGCGUAAAGGGUCUGUAGGUGGUUUUUCAAGUCUUUGGUAAAACGCCGUGGCUCAACCAUGGUUUGGCCAAGGAGACUGGGAGACUCGAGGCUGGGAGAGGGAAGCGGAAUUUCUGGUGUAGCGGUGAAAUGCGUUGAGAUCAGAAAGAAGGCCGGUGGCGAAGGCGGCUUCCUGGAACAGACCUGACACUGAGAGACGAAAGCGUGGGGAGCAAACAGGAUUAGAUACCCUGGUAGUCCACGCCCUAAACGAUGGGAACUAAGUGUGGGGAGCAAUCCCCGUGCCGCAGCUAACGCAAUAAGUUCCCCGCCUGGGG